rnacentral:snoRNA from 1 species
GUGAUUUCAUUUGUUUUAAUGAUGACUCCGAGUGCAUUUGGCUCGAGACGUAAUGUCGAUGUGGAAAAACCCAAGCUACCUUUAUCUUUUUGUCUGACA